rnacentral:rRNA from 1 species
GGGUUGUGAGGUUAAGCGACUAAGCGUACACGGUGGAUGCCCUGGCAGUCAGAGGCGAUGAAGGACGUGCUAAUCUGCGAUAAGCGUCGGUAAGGUGAUAUGAACCGUUAUAACCGGCGAUUUCCGAAUGGGGAAACCCAGUGUGUUUCGACACACUAUCAUUAACUGAAUCCAUAGGUUAAUGAGGCGAACCGGGGGAACUGAAACAUCUAAGUACCCCGAGGAAAAGAAAUCAACCGAGAUUCCCCCAGUAGCGGCGAGCGAACGGGGAGCAGCCCAGAGCCUGAAUCAGUGUGUGUGUUAGUGGAAGCGUCUGGAAAGGCGCGCGAUACAGGGUGACAGCCCCGUACACAAAAAUGCACAUGCUGUGAGCUCGAUGAGUAGGGCGGGACACGUGGUAUCCUGUCUGAAUAUGGGGGGACCAUCCUCCAAGGCUAAAUACUCCUGACUGACCGAUAGUGAACCAGUACCGUGAGGGAAAGGCGAAAAGAACCCCGGCGAGGGGAGUGAAAAAGAACCUGAAACCGUGUACGUACAAGCAGUGGGAGCACGCUUAGGCGUGUGACUGCGUACCUUUUGUAUAAUGGGUCAGCGACUUAUAUUCUGUAGCAAGGUUAACCGAAUAGGGGAGCCGAAGGGAAACCGAGUCUUAACUGGGCGUUAAGUUGCAGGGUAUAGACCCGAAACCCGGUGAUCUAGCCAUGGGCAGGUUGAAGGUUGGGUAACACUAACUGGAGGACCGAACCGACUAAUGUUGAAAAAUUAGCGGAUGACUUGUGGCUGGGGGUGAAAGGCCAAUCAAACCGGGAGAUAGCUGGUUCUCCCCGAAAGCUAUUUAGGUAGCGCCUCGUGAAUUCAUCUCCGGGGGUAGAGCACUGUUUCGGCAAGGGGGUCAUCCCGACUUACCAACCCGAUGCAAACUGCGAAUACCGGAGAAUGUUAUCACGGGAGACACACGGCGGGUGCUAACGUCCGUCGUGAAGAGGGAAACAACCCAGACCGCCAGCUAAGGUCCCAAAGUCAUGGUUAAGUGGGAAACGAUGUGGGAAGGCCCAGACAGCCAGGAUGUUGGCUUAGAAGCAGCCAUCAUUUAAAGAAAGCGUAAUAGCUCACUGGUCGAGUCGGCCUGCGCGGAAGAUGUAACGGGGCUAAACCAUGCACCGAAGCUGCGGCAGCGACACUAUGUGUUGUUGGGUAGGGGAGCGUUCUGUAAGCCUGUGAAGGUGUACUGUGAGGUAUGCUGGAGGUAUCAGAAGUGCGAAUGCUGACAUAAGUAACGAUAAAGCGGGUGAAAAGCCCGCUCGCCGGAAGACCAAGGGUUCCUGUCCAACGUUAAUCGGGGCAGGGUGAGUCGACCCCUAAGGCGAGGCCGAAAGGCGUAGUCGAUGGGAAACAGGUUAAUAUUCCUGUACUUGGUGUUACUGCGAAGGGGGGACGGAGAAGGCUAUGUUGGCCGGGCGACGGUUGUCCCGGUUUAAGCGUGUAGGCUGGUUUUCCAGGCAAAUCCGGAAAAUCAAGGCUGAGGCGUGAUGACGAGGCACUACGGUGCUGAAGCAACAAAUGCCCUGCUUCCAGGAAAAGCCUCUAAGCAUCAGGUAACAUCAAAUCGUACCCCAAACCGACACAGGUGGUCAGGUAGAGAAUACCAAGGCGCUUGAGAGAACUCGGGUGAAGGAACUAGGCAAAAUGGUGCCGUAACUUCGGGAGAAGGCACGCUGAUAUGUAGGUGAAGUCCCUCGCGGAUGGAGCUGAAAUCAGUCGAAGAUACCAGCUGGCUGCAACUGUUUAUUAAAAACACAGCACUGUGCAAACACGAAAGUGGACGUAUACGGUGUGACGCCUGCCCGGUGCCGGAAGGUUAAUUGAUGGGGUUAGCGCAAGCGAAGCUCUUGAUCGAAGCCCCGGUAAACGGCGGCCGUAACUAUAACGGUCCUAAGGUAGCGAAAUUCCUUGUCGGGUAAGUUCCGACCUGCACGAAUGGCGUAAUGAUGGCCAGGCUGUCUCCACCCGAGACUCAGUGAAAUUGAACUCGCUGUGAAGAUGCAGUGUACCCGCGGCAAGACGGAAAGACCCCGUGAACCUUUACUAUAGCUUGACACUGAACAUUGAGCCUUGAUGUGUAGGAUAGGUGGGAGGCUUUGAAGUGUGGACGCCAGUCUGCAUGGAGCCGACCUUGAAAUACCACCCUUUAAUGUUUGAUGUUCUAACGUUGACCCGUAAUCCGGGUUGCGGACAGUGUCUGGUGGGUAGUUUGACUGGGGCGGUCUCCUCCUAAAGAGUAACGGAGGAGCACGAAGGUUGGCUAAUCCUGGUCGGACAUCAGGAGGUUAGUGCAAUGGCAUAAGCCAGCUUGACUGCGAGCGUGACGGCGCGAGCAGGUGCGAAAGCAGGUCAUAGUGAUCCGGUGGUUCUGAAUGGAAGGGCCAUCGCUCAACGGAUAAAAGGUACUCCGGGGAUAACAGGCUGAUACCGCCCAAGAGUUCAUAUCGACGGCGGUGUUUGGCACCUCGAUGUCGGCUCAUCACAUCCUGGGGCUGAAGUAGGUCCCAAGGGUAUGGCUGUUCGCCAUUUAAAGUGGUACGCGAGCUGGGUUUAGAACGUCGUGAGACAGUUCGGUCCCUAUCUGCCGUGGGCGCUGGAGAACUGAGGGGGGCUGCUCCUAGUACGAGAGGACCGGAGUGGACGCAUCACUGGUGUUCGGGUUGUCAUGCCAAUGGCACUGCCCGGUAGCUAAAUGCGGAAGAGAUAAGUGCUGAAAGCAUCUAAGCACGAAACUUGCCCCGAGAUGAGUUCUCCCUGACCCUUUAAGGGUCCUGAAGGAACGUUGAAGACGACGACGUUGAUAGGCCGGGUGUGUAAGCGCAGCGAUGCGUUGAGCUAACCGGUACUAAUGAACCGUGAGGCUUAACCUUACAACGCCGAAGCUGUU